rnacentral:ncRNA from 1 species
GAGAGCCGGAUGCGGUGAAAGUCGCACGUCCGGUUCGGGGGCGCGGCGGUGGGAAAUAGCCCGGGCGACAAGCCCGGACACUACGCCCGCCGUCGACGCCUAC